GGUUCAUAAAAAGAAGCUCUGCAGUAAACAAAAUGAACUUUCUUCCAUAGGCAGAUAUCAGUUCAUCCGCCAUUUUUGUAACUGUGGUGCAUGGUGACUGCAAUGAAUUCCUGCUUGACCAACCUGAUCACCUUCUAUGAUCCAGUGACCCGUCUGGUGGAUGAGGGAAAGGCUGUUGAUGUGCUCUACCUAGACUUCAGCAAAGCCUUUGACACUGUCUCCCACAGUAUUCUCCUGCAGAAGCUGGCAGAUCGUGGCUUGGACAGAUACACUCUUGGCUGCAUUCCACUACUUUUUUUCUCCUGAGACAAGUGAACAACUGAAGCUCUGCAUCAUGAUAGAACCAAAGAAAUCUGUCUUCUGCCAGAAAACAAGAACCUAGGCUGGUCUAAAAGCGUGAAGAACUUGUGUGGCUCUGUAUGACUCCAGUCUGAUUCUUCUUGCUGAGAAAUUUCCAUUACCCCCUUGAAGGAAUUUAGCAAUGCUAUGCAAUACCACAUGUAGAGCUUUUCAGAAGUUGUUUUCAAAUUCAAAUGGAACAAACAGUUCAAUUAAGAUUAAAAUACCUAGGAAGAGUGGAGUUUUCCAGAAAUCAAAAUGCUUAACAUAUAUUGUUUUAUAGAGGUCUGUAGCCUGCUGAAGAAAUAACUCAGAAC
ensembl:lncRNA